GGCUCUCGUGUGGUACGUCAUUAUCUUCCCACACAACAGAGUUUUACAUCCCGAGGGAUUUCUUCACUCACGCGGCGUCGCUGGGUCAGGGUUUCCCCCAUUGCCCAAUAUUCCCCACUGCUGCCUCCCGUAGGA
rnacentral:rRNA from 1 species